rnacentral:lncRNA from 1 species
CUAGGGUGGCCGGCCUCUUAGAGAGCAAAAUGGAGCAUAUGUUCUCAUCUUUUCUCUAAAAGAAACCCUAAUGAAGAAAACGCUAUAAAGUCAUAUUUAUACCUACCUUCAUUGGAGUGGCAAACUUGUAAUAAGUCCAAAACCCACUCCUUUAUCAAUAUGGCCGCCCAUAGGGUGUUAUUGGGCUAUUUGGGCCUUUGUGAAUAUUUAAUCAUUAAGUUGUCAUACAACUUAAGUCAAUGGGCUUGACGUUCGAAGCCUAUUGGGCCUUGAGGCCCAAAACUAACCCGAGGUCUUUAACAAACUUUAUUCGUUUGAUUAAUUAACGUAUUAAUUA